GGAAGUCACUUCUAACAAGUUACUGUGUGUCCGCUCCUCUGCGGUCUCUUCCCGGCCGCCAGGAUUGUGACCCCUGUUGCCUCGUGCGGUGUGUUUUACACAGAACUCCCGCAUGCCCGUCCUCGCUUCCAGAGUCCAUCCUGGAACUAACUCCGCAUCUUUCAGGGCACUCGGAUCCGGACGUGGAACCUUGGACGGGGGGGCGACCCGACCGCCAGGGAUGCCGGGAAGGGUGCUGAUGUGGGCGACUCUCCCAGAGAACAGAGGUCAUUGCUCCCCGAGCACGUUUGCGGUGCCCCGAGCACGUUUGCGGUGGGGCGCGGGCCGGGAGGGUCAGAGGCAAGCAGCUUGGACCUCACUGUUCGCUGACCUGCCACGCUCAGCAGUCAGGACGAGCUCCGGAGCCCAGGGAGUCAUCGUUUCCCCUGCUGGGGAUCGAGCAGCCCCGAGCUCACCUCAGCUAGCGUGAUUGAUCUUCAUGGCUCCAAGGCCUGAAUGCAUGACCCAUGAUACAAGCAACCUACAAAAGACUCUGGCUCCAUUAAACCCAAACAGAAAGAGGUUUUUUAUUUUUGGAAACUCAACAAGAUUUGACCCAGGACACUGAACCCAGGAAAGGGCUGGAAAGAACCUCCAAGUGAUGGUCAAGUGUGAGGCACAGGCAGAUGCUUAGGACCCAAGAGCCAAAAGAUCCCCAGCCAGAAAACAGGAGGCAGGAGGCCUCACGUCACUUCAGAUGCUGACUGAGGCAGGAGACGCUCCCGCGAGGCUCGGCUGCACAGCUCCUCAGAUGUCCGGCGUGUGCCGCAGGCUGCAGAGACUAGAUCCAGAACCUGGUGAACCUCACAGCAUUGGCCUGGGUCUCAGCCUGGACAAGGAGGGGCUCUGAGGUGAGGAGUCGGGGGCUCCAGGCUCAGACUGAGGUGUGGCUCAGCUACAGGCACUCUACUCCUUCUGAAGCCCAAAGUCAGGCCAGCUCAGGGCUGCCAGUUACAGAAAGCGGCUGUCACCGUCCCUCGAAACGGGCUGUGAUUUGUUCCAGAGUCCUGCCUUUAGUCUCAGGGACAGAGGUCACCGUGAAAAGGACACUGAGGACACAGAAGGCAGCGGUGAGCCAGAAGGCGCCAUAGGGCCUGAGGAUCUCCUGCAGAAGAGGAAGGCACAUGUGGAGGUAGCCAGAGGUCAGAGGUCAGCCCUCUCAACCCGCAACCCUAACUGCAGCCUGCCCUGCCGGGCUUAGCAUGUCUCUGGAGACCAGCUGUGUGGCUGAUAGCUCACCGCCACCCAAGGUGAUGUGUGUCUGAGAACCGAGGCUCACGGUAGGUAAUGUAGGGACUGCCCUGAGAUCAGAAAUGUCAAGGACACAGGUUCCUGUUUCUGGGCAUCCCAGGCUUCCUGCCCUCACUCCUACACCUUAGGCGCUGCCCUCGUGUCCCAGCUGCUGUGAGUCCUCUGUGUUGAGGAAGGGGAAGUGCUGCUCUUGAGAGAGGGCGAGGCUGCGACCCUGCAGGUGGCAGAGCAAAGUCCCCUCCUCCGUUCAUUCCUUGCAGGAGAGGACACCAGUGACCUUUCAGCCUCUUCAGCAGGGUGCUCCCCUGGUCCCUGCUGGGUCUUUGUCACGUCCUCCUGGGCUUCCUCCCCCAGGUCCUUUGCUGGCUGCUCCCUAUUACAUUCCAUGAUGGCUCUGCUCGCCUUCCUCUGGGCUUUCUGGGAGGCCCCGUCUGCCUGAGCAUGUCUUUGGCUAGCUGGGUGUCCACGCCACCCACCACCUUCCUGGCACCUGUCAUGAAAGCAACCCUGUUCUCCUCAGUUGGUGCCAUCUUUGCUGCCUUAAACAGGCCUGGGCAUGGCCCAUGCCGGGAGACAUGGAGGGCACCAGUGACUGGACAGAUGGCCGCUCGUCUGCCCCAGGACCGACCUCUAGAAGCUGGCAGGCCACAGCCACACCAGUGUCAGCUAACACCGAGGGCAGAAAUGUGAAUGGACUGACAUCCCUUCAACCUAGAGGAAGGCCUGCUGCGUACCCGCGCUGCUGCUGCUGCUUCAGGUCCAUGUUGAGAGACGGUUACGCAGUACGCACAGGGAAGCAGGCCCUCUCCCUCGGUGUGUGUGUGUGUCAGAGCCCAGGCCUGUCAAGUUUCCUUAAUAUAUCACGGGCUCCUGA